AUUGAACGCUGGCGGAAUGCUUUACACAUGCAAGUCGAACGGCAGCACGGACUUCGGUCUGGUGGCGAGUGGCGAACGGGUGAGUAAUAUAUCGGAACGUGCCCAGUCGUGGGGGAUAACGUAGCGAAAGCUACGCUAAUACCGCAUACGAUCUACGGAUGAAAGCGGGGGAUCGCAAGACCUCGCGCGAUUGGAGCGGCCGAUAUCAGAUUAGGUAGUUGGUGAGGUAAAGGCUCACCAAGCCGACGAUCUGUAGCUGGUCUGAGAGGACGACCAGCCACACUGGGACGGAGACACGGACAAGACUCCUACGGGAGGCAGCAGUGGGGAAUUUUGGACAAUGGACGCAAGUCUGAUCCAGCCAUUCCGCGUGCAGGACGAAGGCCUUCGGGUUGUAAACUGCUUUUGUACAGAACGAAAAGGUCUCUAUUAAUACUAGGGGCUCAUGACGGUACUGUAAGAAUAAGCACCGGCUAACUACGUGCCAGCAGCCGCCGUAA
rnacentral:rRNA from 1 species